CAGCCCUCCUAGACCUAUUUAAGAGCUGGCUACCAGUGGGGAAGGAUCUUGUUUGGAGAUUCUCUCUUCUGGUGAUUUUUGUGGGUGAACAUAUGGCCUUGGCUUCCGUUAGUGUGCUGUCCUCCCUUGUCUGUCACCUGGCAGAAGACAACACCAUUUUUUCUAUGGGUUUGGAUGGGAGCUGCCAUAGGCUGCAUUCUGGUUCAUUCCUGGGCAAGUGCCUGACCAUGAGCACUGCAUGCAUAUUGCUUUCAUCCCUGUUCCUUUGUUGGAUCAAAGCAACAAGUUCCCUGGAAGACAAAACUGAGCAGUCUCAGCCCUGGCAGAUCAUACCCAUGUUGAGGUUUGAUGAGCAUGGACUUACACCAGCAUGAGAGGAAUGCGAGAUAGGGUUACGAUUUCUUUUCCAGGACAGUCACGUUGCACAGCUCCCCACGUGCACCAUUUAUAGAAGGACCAAGGGCUGCAGCUUGUCCUGCAGUCCUAACAGAGAUCAAGCUGUUACAAGAAGAUCCUGCAGCCCUUUCAGUACACCAGCACUUACACCGUUCUUCUCACAGGACUCAGGACAGAGGAAUCCUACCCACAGGAUCAUCCCGCUGCUCAUCAGUACGGCCUCUGUCCAUCCUGCAGCCCUUUGAGCUUGGCCUGUGUGAGUGCCUAUCUGCCUUCAAUGGAGGAAUGGUAACACCUCCAUACUCAACAAAGUCAGUGCCUCAAAUCUAUUUGGAGGAGCGGCAGCUUGUACAGCAGAGAGACUGGGAUUGUGGUUGCUAAAGUAGUUUAUGUGUUGUUUAGCCUUUCAUUUUUUUAAAAGGAGGUGAUGGUUUUUAGGAGAUUCAUCAAUUAUAUUGAUAAGCAAGAGCAGCAGCUCACUGUAAAGUGUUUAGUCUUGAUAGUCAACUCUAUCUAAGGAUGAGAAAUGGUUCUUCAUGAAUAGACUGGGUGAUUUCCUCUCGUUCCAUUUUUAGCUGAAUGAACAUGUCUCUGCUGUCAGAACGAUGAACCCUGGAUUCAUACAGUGUGGGGCGGACUAAUGAAUGCCAUGGGAAGUACCACCCUCAUAAAGUCCAAAAAAGGAAAAUAAUGAGAUUUCUAGGACAUGCUCUUAGUGGAAUAUGAUGGCACACCAGGAGUUGUUUCAAAUGAAAUGUAAAACCGAUAUUUUUUUGCAAGGUGAAGGACACAGACUACAGCCAGAAUGUUUUGCUUCCAAAUAGACAUCUGGCAAAUAUCGACCUACAAUUGUGUUUAGCGUGGAAUGGAAAGUAUGGGCUGUGACAUGAGCAGUCAAUAGUUUUUUAGACCAUCGAUCCUUACAGUGGCUAUUGAUUGUUUUUUAGGCUAUAGCACAAUCUAUUUUUUCAUUUAGCUUAGCUUAAACUAAUUGAAUGGUAAGUUGUGAGUCUGUACAUGUGAAAAGGACUCAAUACGCAUUGGUAAUAUAUAAUAAAAUGAAUACUCAUUUAUAAGUGCUUGUUUCUCCCUUAACAUUCAGUGGCACCACUCAAAGAUGACUUUGGUAGGACAAAAAGUGGAAGUUUACUUCAGGGAAGUCCAGGUGUUACCAUUCACCCUCUGCUGCCUGACUUGAACUUUUUCCCUCUCAAAAUUUGACUGCUAUGAAAAUGCCCGACUCUUGGAAUGAACACACAGGGAUCUAGCUGACUUCUUUAGCACAUCCUCUUUCUGUUCACUGUCAUCCCACCUGAUUUGUUUGCUUUUUUUUUUUUUUUUUUUUUUUCCGCAGAGAAAAUCUGCUGUUGCCUUCUACUUGGGGACUUUAUAUAAGGUUCAGGAAGUACUCUUGAGUGUACUGGAUUUUAGAAACUGUAGAAUAAGCUAUUUUCUGUCCAGUUAGAAGAAGCUGUACGUGUACAAGAAAUGUCCAUUAACUACUACUAAGCUAGGUCAUGCCUCGAGGUGCUAGUUCUUGUGAUUGCUAUUUAUA